rnacentral:tRNA from 11 species
CUUAGCUGAGUGGUUAAGGCGCCGGUCUCUGAAGCAUCAGGUCCCAAGUUUGAUUCUUGGU